rnacentral:tRNA from 1 species
AAGACAUUAGUAAAGCAAUUACACUACUUUGUCAAGGCAGUAUCGUGGGUUAAACCCCCGCAUGUCUUA